CAGCCGCCGCGGUAAUACGUAGGUGGCAAGCGUUGUCCGGAAUUAUUGGGCGUAAAGGGCUCGCAGGCGGUUUCUUAAGUCUGAUGUGAAAGCCCCCGGCUCAACCGGGGAGGGUCAUUGGAAACUGGGGAACUUGAAUGCAGAAGAGGAGAGUGGAAUUCCACGUGUAGCGGUGAAAUGCGUAGAGAUGUGGAGGAACACCAGUGGCGAAGGCGACUCUCUGGUCUGUAACUGACGCUGAGGAGCGAAAGCGUGGGGAGCGAACAGGAUUAGAUACCCGAGUAGUCCCUGUCUCUUAUAC
rnacentral:rRNA from 1 species